rnacentral:sRNA from 1 species
UUCGCCCACCCCUUCCCAUCUUCUGUUCGGUGUCUGUUGUUUUCACUUUCUCCGUCCCUCCAUUUACCAAAGUGUUUGAUAAAUUCUCACCUGGGAGUGGGGCGCAAAGACAAGACCAUCUUGCUGAUGCUCUGUACCUUCACAACGUUCAGGUAGACCGUGUGUUAAUAAAAGGGAUGGUUGACACUAUCAUCAUUGUUACAUCAUGUCAACCUUGCCAUGCGUAAUUGGACUUGACGUAGACACCUGUGUGGUAUCGAGAAAUGAGAAAGGGAGAUGAUAGUAGGAGAGACUACUAAGGCAGAUGUCGAUUCACGUUGCUUCCGUGACUAGCAUUAUGUCGUCUGUGGUUGAUUCAUUGGAGACUCGUUUAUUGGGUAUACAGUACCAUAGACGAUAAAGACGGCUUCAAGUAGAGCAAGCGGAAAGUAUGGCAGUCAAAUUAGUGGCGGAGAAAAGAUGCACUAGCAGUAGUAAG